rnacentral:lncRNA from 12 species
AUGUCUUCAGCCAGCAGAGAGUGGUGGUCCAUGAUCCAGUCUCUGAGUUCAGACCCAUCCACUGCAGAAAACCGAGGAGGGGAAUCAGGUUCCACCAGUCUUCAAGAUGGACUCACCUACGAGGACAUACAGAGUAUGGUGGAGGAUGUGCUGGAGGAAAACGGCUAUUACUGCAGGUGAUGUGGAUCCAAGCUGUUUUCUGCUGGAUUUCCUCUGCGCUCGUUGACUGACUCACUGUCUGUCUGUCUGUGUGAGCAGCAGAAGUGACGUGGAUUCAGGAGCGGGAACCAGACGAACUCAAUCCCCGUGACCCCCAGCAGCGCUCGUGUCUGCCCGACGACAGCCUCUCAGGUCAACCUGACAAUAAUCACAUUGUGAAUCAUAAGCUGAUUAUGUGCAUCUGAGAAACACGUGCCGAUAUCUGAAAUAUAUUGACACAAUAUAAGAUUGCAAUAUUAGUCAGUGCACGCACACAUAGAUGAUUGACCUCAUUUGAAUCUGUGCACUUUAAUGUGUGUGUGAUUUUCCUCACUGUUUUUACAGAUUCACACAAAACAGACAUUUGAAAUAAAUAUAGUUUCAAUAUAAAAUAGUACUUUAGUUUUUACUCAGUAAAUUAAUUUAUUGCUUUACCCAUGUUACAAAUUGGUGGAAGUUGGUUUAACAAAGCUCAAGAGCAUUUAUACGUGAUGUGUGUGUAUUUAUGUGUGUGUGUGUGUGUGUGUGUGGUAUAAUGACAUUGUUUGUCUUUCUAUAUUUUAUACAUGUUCAGUAGCGUCCAAAAGCCUGAGAGCACAUAGAAAAUCAUUGAUUGUUCUCUUUAAUCCUGCUAAGAAAGUAAAAAAAAAGUAAAGAAAGUUUAUAAAAUUGAGAGAAAUAUUUAAUAUUCUGCCGAAUUUCAAAUGUAAGACAAAAUUUGUCAUGAAAAUGUUUUUUUUUUUUAGGUAACACUUCACGUUAACAUCUCAUUUUUUAACAUUACCUAACAAUGAGCAUGAUAUGAUUUAUUUUAAUAUAUAUAUAUAUAUAUAUAUUUGUGUGUGUACACAACAGCAAUAUAUAAACUUUUAAAAUGGCAUUUAUAAAUCUUUGUGAAUGGUAGUUAAUAAAAAUAGAUCUGUUUAUGUUUAUUCAUGCUAGUUCACAGUAAAUUUAUUAAUGGUAAAAGAUACAUUUUAUUUUGAAAAUGUAUUAAAUAUGGAAAUUAAGAUUAAUGCUGAAAUGUUGUAAUGAUUUAAGUAUUGUUAUUAGUUAAUGUUAACUAAUGUAGCAAGUAAUGUUAACAAGUAAAAUCUAACUGUGAAGUUUUACCUGUUAUUUUAUUUUAUAUUUAAUUUUUUUUUUUUUUUUUUACAUUUUUAAAUAAGAGAACAGUUUAUUGACAAAACAUUUUUUAAAAUCUACAAAAAACAAAUGUAUGUUUCUAAAGAUUGUAUCCUAUCCUGUGUUUUCCUAAUUAACCGAUUUUAGAAAUAAUUUCGGAAAAUGUUUGAAAUAUGUAUACAA